UUGAAUUUUUUGCCGACGUAAAUUUAAGGUCGUCACACAUUACAGAAAACUAUUUUCCAUUCUGUGUCUCUAUGCUCAUUUUGUGCCCGGGUGCAGCUGUGAAGGAACACUACAGGUAGAGAAGAAAGAAAGGAAGAAUGAUGGUUACUUUUCUUUAUAAAAUUUGGUUCAGGAUGCCGUUUUACCUGUUGUAAUACCUUCAGCAUAGAAGCAGUAGUGGUCUGCUCCUCCA